CAGUCGCCGCGGUAAUACGUAGGGUGCGAGCGUUAAUCGGAAUUACUGGGCGUAAAGCGUGCGCAGGCGGUUGUACAAGACAGAUGUGAAAUCCCCGGGCUUAACCUGGGAAUGGCAUUUGUGACUGUACGGCUAGAGUGUGUCAGAGGGGGGUAGAAUUCCACGUGUAGCAGUGAAAUGCGUAGAUAUGUGGAGGAAUACCGAUGGCGAAGGCAGCCCCCUGGGAUAACACUGACGCUCAUGCACGAAAGCGUGGGGAGCAAACAGGAUUAGAUACCCGCGUAGUCCCUGUCUCUUAUAC
rnacentral:rRNA from 1 species